GACGAACGCUGGCGGCGUGCUUAACACAUGCAAGUCGAACGGAAAGGCCCUGCUUGCAGGGUACUCGAGUGGCGAACGGGUGAGUAACACGUGGGUGAUCUGCCCUGCACUUCGGGAUAAGCCUGGGAAACUGGGUCUAAUACCGGAUAGGAGCCAUUUUUAGUGUGAUGGUUGGAAAGUUUUUUCGGUGUAGGAUGAGCUCGCGGCCUAUCAGCUUGUUGGUGGGGUAAUGGCCUACCAAGGCGGCGACGGGUAGCCGGCCUGAGAGGGUGGACGGCCACAUUGGGACUGAGAUACGGCCCAGACUCCUACGGGAGGCAGCAGUGGGGAAGAUUGAACAAUGGGCGCAAGCCUGAUGCAGCGACGCCGCGUGGGGGAUGACGGCCUUCGGGUUGGAAACUCCUUUCGCUAGGGACGAAGCUUUUUGUGACGGUACCUAGAGAAGAAGCACCGGCUAACUACGUG
rnacentral:rRNA from 1 species